UGGGGAAUAUUGCACAAUGGGCGCAAGCCUGAUGCAGCCAUGCCGCGUGUGUGAAGAAGGCCUUCGGGUUGUAAAGCACUUUCAGCGGGGAGGAAGGCGUUAAGGUUAAUAACCUUGGCGAUUGACGUUACCCGCAGAAGAAGCACCGGCUAACUCCGUGCCAGCAGCCGCGGUAAUACGGAGGGUGCAAGCGUUAAUCGGAAUUACUGGGCGUAAAGCGCACGCAGGCGGUCUGUCAAGUCGGAUGUGAAAUCCCCGGGCUCAACCUGGGAACUGCAUUCGAAACUGGCAGGCUAGAGUCUUGUAGAGUGAGGUAGAAUUCCAGGUGUAGCGGUGAAAUGCGUAAAGAUCUGGAGGAAUACCGGUGGCGAAGGCGGCCCCCUGGACGAAGACUGACGCUCAGGUGCGAAAGCGUGGGGAGCAAACAGG
rnacentral:rRNA from 1 species